CCCUAGAACAGCAUCCCACAUCCUCUGUAUUCUUUUUCCUCGUGUGAAAUUACGUUGGCGCUUGGAUCAACAAAUACAUAGCUCACCUGGCUAUUCAGCUUAAUAUUAUUCAAGACAAACAUUUCUUGUGUCCAAAUUUAGAACAGUCGUAUUCUUAAAUGCACCUGUGUCGCUACAGUGCUACAAACUGAUUCUACUUGGUUGCUAUUUUAUAUGGCAGUGAUGCUGUUUCUUUUGCACCAAAGAAUUGCUCAGAAAUCCUAUGGUUAUCAAAGUAUCUGUAAUUGCUGGCAUGGUGGAAUGAUGUAGCAUUCUUGAAUUCCAUUUUCAUUUUCAGAACAUUCACAAGUCGGAGUGAUCUCAUGGUGACUUGAUUUUGCAAUGUUUUACUUGGUAUAUAAUGUUACUGUAGGAGGCCUGAGACUUAGUUCAUUGCUGAUACUGAUUCCAGUGGCAAAAUGACGUUAUGCAAACAAUAGCAUUUACGAUCUCUUCCCAAAAUUUUUUUAAAAAAGCUUUUAGUGAGCUAAAACAAAUCAGUUCUCGCAUUCUCAUGGAGUUGCACACUAGAUCAGUGCUGGACAGAGGUGACGUUGCUGGCACAUUGCUUACCUGGAUUCGUAAAAUCCUACUUGCUAGAAACUGUUGCAACCUUUUGCUAAUUGCCAUGCCAUUCCCAAUUGAUGUACGUGGUAUCUAAUCACCAACAUGCUUGAUGAUGCCAUUCUGCAGGAAUUUUUUCGCAGAUUAAAGAAUUCUUGUUUUCCUCUAGACACUUGGUUUGGUUUCGAAAGACACCGAAUUUAUACUUGGGGUGUGUGCGUACGAAUUUGUAGAAGAUAGUUGUUAGUUUCUGUUAAGAUGGAUGUCUAGCCAGGACACCACCUUCUAAGACCUUUUCAGUAGCACGUGAUACAGCAGGAAGAAAGAAGAAAUAAAAUAAAAAAUAAUUAAAAUAUGUGGAUCAGCCACAAAAGGGCUCGCCUCCACGGGGCAUGCAAACUUCAUUAUGAAAAAGAAAUUUUACAAGAAGAGAUCUCAUCCUCAACCCUCGUACACCCAAUUUCUCUCUCACUAGAAAUUUUUCUCACAAAAGCGCUCUCUC
rnacentral:lncRNA from 1 species